rnacentral:rRNA from 1 species
GACGAACGCUGUCGGCGUGCUUAACACAUGCAAGUCGAACGAUGAAGCCCAGCUUGCUGGGUGGAUUAGUGGCGAACGGGUGAGUAAUACGUGAGUAACCUGCCUUUAACUCUGGGAUAAGCCUUGGAAACGGGGUCUAAUACUGGAUACGACCAACCCUCGCAUGGGGUGUUGGUGGAAAGGGAUUUUGUACUGGUUUUAGAUGGGCUCACGGCCUAUCAGCUUGUUGGUGAGGUAACGGCUCACCAAGGCGACGACGGGUAGCCGGCCUGAGAGGGUGGCCGGCCACACUGGGACUGAGACACGGCCCAGACUCCUACGGGAGGCAGCAGUGGGGAAUAUUGCACAAUGGGCGCAAGCCUGAUGCAGCGACGCCGCGUGAGGGAUGACGGCCUUCGGGUUGUAAACCUCUUUCAGCAGGGGAGAAGCGAAAGUGACGGUACCCGCAGAAGAAGCGCCGGCUAACUACGUGCCAGCAGCCGCGGUAAUACGUAGGGCGCGAGCGUUGUCCGGAAUUAUUGGGCGUAAAGAGCUUGUAGGCGGUUUGUCGCGUCUGCUGUGAAAGCCCGGGGCUUAACCCCGGGUUUGCAGUGGGUACGGGCAGACUAGAGUGCAGUAGGGGAGACUGGAAUUCCUGGUGUAGCGGUGAAAUGCGCAGAUAUCAGGAGGAACACCAAUGGCGAAGGCAGGUCUCUGGGCUGUAACUGACGCUGAGAAGCGAAAGCAUGGGGAGCAAACAGGAUUAGAUACCCUGGUAGUCCAUGCCGUAAACGUUGGGCACUAGGUGUGGGGAACAUUCCACGUUUUCCGCGCCGUAGCUAACGCAUUAAGUGCCCCGCCUGGGGAGUACGGCCGCAAGGCUAAAACUCAAAGAAAUUGACGGGGGCCCGCACAAGCGGCGGAGCAUGCGGAUUAAUUCGAUGCAACGCGAAGAACCUUACCAAGGCUUGACAUAUACUAGACCGCCUCAGAGAUGGGGUUUCCCUUCGGGGCUGGUAUACAGGUGGUGCAUGGUUGUCGUCAGCUCGUGUCGUGAGAUGUUGGGUUAAGUCCCGCAACGAGCGCAACCCUCGUUCUAUGUUGCCAGCACGUAAUGGUGGGGACUCAUAGGAGACUGCCGGGGUUAACUCGGAGGAAGGUGGGGAUGACGUCAAAUCAUCAUGCCCCUUAUGUCUUGGGCUUCACGCAUGCUACAAUGGCCGGUACAAAGGGUUGCGAUACUGUGAGGUUGAGCUAAUCCCAAAAAGCCGGUCUCAGUUCGGAUUGGGGUCUGCAACUCGACCCCAUGAAGUCGGAGUCGCUAGUAAUCGCAGAUCAGCAACGCUGCGGUGAAUACGUUCCCGGGCCU